UACGUAGGGGGCAAGCGUUGUCCGGAUUUAUUGGGCGUAAAGAGCGUGUAGGCGGCCAGGUAGGUCUGCUGUGAAAACUCGAGGCUCAACCUCGAGACGCCGAUGGAAACCAUGUGGCUAGAGUCCGGAAGAGGAGAGUGGAACUCCUGGUGUAGCGGUGGAAUGCGCAGAUAUCAGGAAGAACACCAACGGCGAAGGCAGCUCGCUGGGACGGUACUGACGCUGAGACGCGAAAGCGUGGGGAGCGAACAGG
rnacentral:rRNA from 1 species